rnacentral:misc_RNA from 1 species
CAGCCGCGGAAUUCCAGCUCCAAUAGCGUAUAUUAAAGUUGUUGCAGUUAAAAAGCUCGUAGUUGAAUUUCGGGAUCAAUUAAUUGGUCGUGCCUCUGGUACGUACUGAUUUUAUUGGUUUCUCCCUUCUGACGAACCAUGAUGUCAUUAAUUUGAUGUCGUGGAGAAUCAGGACUGUUACUUUGAAAAAAUUAGAGUGUUUAAAGCAAGCUAACGCUUGAAUACAUUAGCAUGGAAUAAUGAAAUAGGACGUUUGAUCCGAUUUUGUUGGUUUCUAGGAUCGACGUAAUGAUUAAUAGGGAUAGUUGGGGGCAUUAGUAUUCAAUUGUCAGAGGUGAAAUUCUUGGAUUUAUUGAAGACUAACUACUGCGAAAGCAUUUGCCAAGGAUGUUUUCAUUAAUCAAGAACGAAAGUUAGGGGAUCGAAGACGAUCAGAUACCGUCGUAGUCUUAACCAUAAACUAUGCCGACUAGGGAUCGGAUGAUGUUAAUUUUUUAAUGACUCAUUCGGCGCCUUACG